GUGAAUCAUCGAAUUUUUGAACGCAAAUUGCACUUUCUGGUAUUCCGGAAAGUAUGCCUGUUUGAGGGUCAGUUAAAUAAAAUUCGGUGUUGACGCUGCCUUUCUUUGUGACGCGUUGGAAUUGGGUCGUCUUACCUUCGGUUAAGUGACUUAAAAUUUUUGCAUGAUUUUCGUACGUUUUUAAAUCGCUUACGUUCGUUUCAGGUAUCGAAUGUUCAUUAUGUUCGGUCACUUCCAUG
rnacentral:misc_RNA from 1 species